rnacentral:rRNA from 1 species
UGCAAGUCGAACGGUGAAAGAGAGCUUGCUCUCUGGAUCAGUGGCGAACGGGUGAGUAACACGUGAGCAACCUGCCCCGGACUCUGGGAUAACAGUUGGAAACAGCUGCUAAUACCGGAUACGAGCUGCGAAGGCAUCUUCAGCAGCUGGAAAGAACUUCGGUCUGGGAUGGGCUCGCGGCCUAUCAGCUUGUUGGUGAGGUAACGGCUCACCAAGGCGUCGACGGGUAGCCGGCCUGAGAGGGUGACCGGCCACACUGGGACUGAGACACGGCCCAGACUCCUACGGGAGGCAGCAGUGGGGAAUAUUGCACAAUGGGCGAAAGCCUGAUGCAGCAACGCCGCGUGAGGGACGACGGCCUUCGGGUUGUAAACCUCUUUUAGCAGGGAAGAAGCGAAAGUGACGGUACCUGCAGAAAAAGCGCCGGCUAACUACGUGCCAGCAGCCGCGGUAAUACGUAGGGCGCAAGCGUUAUCCGGAAUUAUUGGGCGUAAAGAGCUCGUAGGCGGUCUGUCGCGUCUGCUGUGAAAACCCGAGGCUCAACCUCGGGCCUGCAGUGGGUACGGGCAGACUAGAGUGCGGUAGGGGAGAUUGGAAUUCCUGGUGUAGCGGUGGAAUGCGCAGAUAUCAGGAGGAACACCGAUGGCGAAGGCAGAUCUCUGGGCCGUAACUGACGCUGAGGAGCGAAAGGGUGGGGAGCAAACAGGCUUAGAUACCCUGGUAGUCCACCCCGUAAACGUUGGGAACUAGUUGUGGGGACCAUUCCACGGUUUCCGUGACGCAGCUAACGCAUUAAGUUCCCCGCCUGGGGAGUACGGCCGCAAGGCUNNCANNGNNGCUAGCUUACCNUGCAAGUCGAACGGUGAAAGAGAGCUUGCUCUCUGGAUCAGUGGCGAACGGGUGAGUAACACGUGAGCAACCUGCCCCGGACUCUGGGAUAACAGUUGGAAACAGCUGCUAAUACCGGAUACGAGCUGCGAAGGCAUCUUCAGCAGCUGGAAAGAACUUCGGUCUGGGAUGGGCUCGCGGCCUAUCAGCUUGUUGGUGAGG